rnacentral:tRNA from 1 species
GGAGCGGUAGUUCAGUUGGUUAGAACGCCGGCCUGUCACGCCGGAGGCCGCGGGUUCGAGUCCCGUCCGUUCCGCCA